ensembl:snRNA U6 U6 spliceosomal RNA
GCGUUCGCUUCGGCAGCAUGUAUAAGAGUGGAGCAAUACAGAGAAAAUUAGCAUGCCCCCUGCUCAAGUAUGACAUGCAAGUUUGUGAAACGUUCCAUAUUUAA